AACACUGGUUGGGAGAGUGGCCUGGGGCAAGGGUGAUAUGUGUGGUGUCAUGGUGUUGCAUGCAAGAUUCAUGUGACUGAGUGUGAGUGGACGCAUGACUGUAUGAGUGUGCGAGUGAGGCAUGCAAGGCAGGUGUGUGCACCAGUGCCAGAGCCCUUCCUCCCCACACACCUUGAUCAUAUUUGAUCAGCCCAGAGGAGCUGACCUGACAUAAAUAGCUCCCUUCCUGAGAAGCCCCUUA
ensembl:scaRNA